rnacentral:rRNA from 1 species
UGAGGAAUAUUGGUCAAUGGGCGAGAGCCUGAACCAGCCAAGUAGCGUGCAGGAUGACGGCCCUAUGGGUUGUAAACUGCUUUUAUGUGGGGAUAAAGUGCGUGACGUGUCAUGCAUUGCAGGUACCACAUGAAUAAGGACCGGCUAAUUCCGUGCCAGCAGCCGCGGUAAUACGGAAGGUCCGGGCGUUAUCCGGAUUUAUUGGUUUAAAGGGAGCGUAGGCUGUCUAUUAAGCGUGUUGUGAAAUUUACCGGCUCAACCGGUGGCUUGCAGCGCGAACUGGUCGACUUGAGUAUGCAGGAAGUAGGCGGAAUUCAUGGUGUAGCGGUGAAAUGCUUAGAUAUCAUGACGAACUCCGAUUGCGCAGGCAGCUUACUGUAGCAUAACUGACGCUGAUGCUCGAAAGUGCGGGUAUCAAACAGG